rnacentral:rRNA from 1 species
AACGGCCGUACUAUGCUGAAUAUACCGGUUCUCGUUAGAUGACCGAAGUGAAGCAUCAUUGGGCGCGGUCAGUACUUGGGUGGGUGACCACCUAGGAACCACUGCGUGCCGU